CCUGUGAUAUUUUGGUAUGAAUUUUAGAACUCUCAAGGGAUUUUCUCUUAUAUAGUCCCCCCCGCCCCCCGCCCCACCUCUCAUCUUCUUUUAAAGAUCUUGGACAAGUAUGAAAACAGAUUAAAAAGUGCAGUUUCUACCAAUCCUCAGAAAGGGCCCACAAGGAACACCACCUUUGAUUGGCGUUGGUUGGUUGUGGUUGUGGUUUUCUUUAUUUGUACUUACCCAUGAAACUGAGUUACUUUUUUAUUCAAGAUAUUUGAACUGUUUUUCUUAAAUCCAGAAUUUAAGAAAUGAAUUAACUUUUUAUUCUAACCUCCCAUAAAAACUUUUGUUUUUCUGACUGAUUUUUUUAUCUAGUCUUCUAGAACUGUUUUAGUUUUAGAAUUGAAAAAUAUGAUGAAGAUACUCUUAUUUACACUACUGAUGAUAUGUGAAGAAAAUUAAUCUUGCAUUGAAUAAAAAGUGAAUUGAAAGUUUUCCAUCCUGCACCCAUAGUAAACAUCAUGAUUGCAGUUAGGGCAUGAGAUUCUUUUCAUUUGUUUGCUUCUUUCAUAAAUAAUCAACCCUCUGUGAUUCAAUCCAUUUUUAAAUCUUCAAAAGGCUAAAAUUAUGUCUUUCAUGUGCUUUUACUAUUUCAAAUUUUUCAUUACAGUUAUCAUAGCACCAUGAACACAGUUUGUGCCUUUGAAAUGUUAGAUUAUUAGGAUUAAUUCAGAAAAUUAUUGUUUUGUGAUCCUGUAUAGUCAGCAGGGAUAAAUUUGACUCUUAAUGUAGGCACUGAUGUUAUUUAUAAAGUUUACAAACAUUUAAAAAAGCACAAGCUGCUAUUUUUAUCCUUAGUCACUAUUUUAAUUCACUUACUGAAGUUCCCCUUUGUAAGAGUUAACAUCCUUUAUUGGAGAUUUUCUCUAUUAACCCUCAAAUUACCUUUCAUCAGAUUCCAGAUUCUGAUCCUGCACUGUACUUUUUUAGUUGCUGUUGGAUAGCUCUAAGCCAUGGUUUUUUCAUUACAUAUCAACAAACUUUACUUUUGGAAUUGUUGCCGAGGCAAUAGAUGUAAAUAUCCAUAAUAAGUGACAUCAUAACAAAGCUGCCAGCAAAGGCACUAUAAGACAAAGUUUUGAUACAAUCAAAACACUUGAGAAACAGGUGAAACAGGAUUUUAUUAUGGGUUGUUUACAUGUUUCCUCUUUAUAAAGAUCACCUAAAAUGUAAUGAAUUUGAAAUUGAUUCUAUUGAUUUCAAUUGUUUACUGGCCAAAGUGACUCAGGGCUCUCUUGUACUCUUGUGUCCUUCUCCCCUUCCCUCCACCUCAUUUAAUGUCCAAUACUCCAGUCUCAAGUUGACAUUACCAUUGCAUAGAAGAAUGCAUGUAGAUAAUAUUUUUGUUAACCAUGUAAAAUCCAUUCUGCAUAGUUUUUAUUUGUUCAGUAAUUGGUAUAUUGAAAAGAAUGAUCCUGCCUGUUGCAUUCUUCUCUCCUUCCUGAUGUAGUUAAUGUCAUAUCCUCUGACAUGAGACAGCACUAAGAAGUCACUUGAGAAUUGAUACACAAGCUUGAUUUGCUUUCUUCUUUGUCCCUGGGUGCUCUAUGCGAUUCCUUAAUUUCAUGGGGGGGGGCAUAUCUUCACUAAAUAUAGACUACAGAUCAGCAAAACUAAUUAACAGCUUUGACAUUUCUGGGGCAGAAAUCUUUCCCACUGGGUAAGCCUUAAUUAUUUAAUAGAAUAAUUCAUUUAGUCAAAUAACUUAAAGUAGGGCAAUAUUUCUUUGAAAAAGAUUAAUAGAGUAACAGAAUAUUUAAACACUACAUCUAUAUGUGUAUGUAUUGAAAAGUACCAACCAUAUAUAUUCUUUAUUUGUAAUUUUACUUUAAUAUUAGAAUUGCAAUCAGAAGUUUGUUUGGCGUUUGAAGAAAUAAGGUUGAUUCUGAUCUGAGAAAAUUAGGUUGAUUCUGAUUAGAUAUGUCUAAAGAAUUCAACAUAAAAUUAUAAAAGAGCUCAUGCUGAUAUUCUGGAGGAAAACAUUUGACUGUGUCUUCAUUAUGUAGGCUGUAAAUCUUUCAAGUUUCUAAAGUUGCUAGGCUGAUGAUGUAAACUGUCUCAAGUAAAUCUGAUCCUCAGCGAAUUACUGAAGCAAUUAUAAAGUAGUUUUCUUUAUCAUAUAUAUGAUAUAGUAUAUAUUAUAUACUAUAUAUGUUUAUAUAUAUUUACUAUAUAUUUUUUGAUAUAUUAUAUCAAAGUAUAAUAUUUACUGGUAAAAUGCUACAAUAUGAGACUAUCUAUCAUAGAUCAAUUGCAUCUGGAGACCCAAAUUAGAAAAUAAAUGAACUGUGUUAAGCCAAAAAAGGAAAAAUAACAUGGUUCUGGGCUUUUAAUAAUUCAGCAUAUAAUACUAGCAUAAGAGAGGACCCACAAUAAAUGCUGAACAAAUAAAAUAGAUACAGCAGGGAGGUCAUAGUUGUAAGUACGCUAAGUGCAAUGGUUAGUUUUAGGACUUUGUAUGCCCUUUGAAAUACACACAUAGAUACUAACAAUAAAAUAAUUACUUACAUAUUGAUCAAAACUCAAAACCAACACUGAUUUUCAUAAGCCUAUGAAAAAGCGGUAUAAACAGGGUGUUGCCAAAAAAUGAAAAAUAAUGUAAGUAUUGGUAACUAAAUUAUAGCACACAGCCACCUCUUUAAGAAUUGUUUUCCUGGAAAAAUAUUAUUUUCUUCACUGACCUCUGACAGAAAUAAUUGUGUCUGUCUUUGAACUUUUAAAAUACUGUUUAUAAAAUGAUUAUUAUCUCAUUUCACACAUUUAUUUGUCUUGCUAUCUCACCCCCUGAGCUGAUCAUGACCUACUGAAAGGCAGAGCCCAUCUUUUCUCUCUCUACUGCCCUGUAGCAAUCAGCAGUCACCCAACCAGUCCUUGACUUUCAAAGCCAUUGUUUUGAACUUGUAGAUGCCUGACAAUAUUAUUCAUUUUAGAGUCACCUGGGAAACCUAUUAUGGCUCCCAAACUCUGUCCUAGAUCCACUGAAACAAAAUCACUGGGGGAAGAUGGAGUCUAGGACUUUAUAUUAAGCAAGCCUCUAAGUACUCAAAAUUGAACUCGGGACCUUGUGCUUGCCAGCCAGGCGCGGCACCACUGAGCUAAGUUCCCGGCCCCAGCACAUCUUAAGUCAGAAGCAAUUCACAAGCCAGAAAAUAUGAAAGUACCUUUAUCAUGGCCUCGUAAUGAAUUUGAAAGAUUGUGCUUGGGAGGAAUAGAGAAAGACACUCACUCAUUUAGUUUAUAAAUGAUGAAAUUAAUUGAUCACAUUAGUUCCUUAUCUGCAAUAAAGAUUAUUUUAAAAGA